AGUCACCUGAGUACCGAGAGCGAUAAUCAGUCACCUCAGUACAGUUGGCAAUGUUCAGUCAACUCAGUACAGUGGGCGAUGUUCAGUCACCUCAGUACAGUGGGCCAUGUUCAGUCACCUCAGUACAGAGGGCAAUGUUCAGUCAUCUCAGUACAGAGGGCAAUGUGCAGUCACCUCAGUACAGUGGGCAAUGUUCAGUCACCUCAGUACAGAGGGCGAUGGCCAGUCACCUCAGUACCGAGAGCGAUGUGCAGUCACCUCAGAACAGUGGGCGAUGUUCAAUCACCUCAGUAGAGUGGGCAAUGUUCAGUCACCUCAGUACAGUGGGCAAUGUUCAGUCACCUCAGUACAGUGGGCAAUGUUCAGUCACCUCAGUACAGAGGGCGAUGUUCAGUCACCUCAGUACGGAGGGCAAUGUUCAGUCACCGCAGUACAGUAGGCGAUGUGCAGUCAUCUCAGUACAGUGGGCGAUGUUCAGUCACCUCAGUACAGAGGGCAAUGUUCAGUCACCUCAGUACAGAGGGCAAUGUUCAGUCAUCUCAGUACAGAGGGCAAUGUUCAGUCAUCUCAGUACAGAGGGCAAUGUUCAGUCAUCUCAGUACAGAGGGCAAUGUUCAGUCACCUCAGUACGGCCCAAUAGACUCGAAGGAGUAUUCAAAAGUGCAUUUUAAUCAACCAGAAAGCCGUAAUUCUGUUACAUUAGUUGUCACUUGGGCCGUGACCUGGUCAUAUACUAGUAUUGGACAUCCAGUUUAUUAGCCAUCACGCGGCACGUUUGAUUGACACAUGGACUUCACGUUCUCUUGUUCUGUAUUGUACCAGUGACAGACGCACACAACAUGAUUGCUACUCUGACCUUCUCACCACAGACACAGUAUCGACAGUUCGUGCGACAAAGAUGUGCCUAACAAUUAAGAUCCAUAUCCCAGGUAAAUGUCGCCACACCUGUAGUCGAUUAGACGGUUCAUUGCAUGAGAAUAGUGUUUACUAGUAUUUACUUACCUUAAUGACACCAUCAAACGAAAUAUAUGAAACUAUUACAAUCGUGUAGAUUUGAAUUAUUUUCAUGGCGUAGAAUUUACAUCAGAGAUAAUAUACCAAUGUCAUUAGUGUGGCUUUUCAUAACAAUCAUCUCACACGAUCCCCAAGUUUAUGAUAUAUACAGUUAUUACUGCAGUCAGGUUCAAGGGACCGGAAUUAAUUAUUGUGUCUAUGUAGCUAUUGAUAUGUUAUUGUGUAUUUAAAACGUUACAACUUUGAAUAUCCGUUUUGUUCAACGCAUAGAACCUUUCAGAAUUCUUUUUAAAUGAACUAUAAUAAGACCGGAAGACAUGUCAAAAUGCUUCUAAUGUGUUCUUAUCAACCGAAAUGUUACAGAACUUGUAUGUAUACUUGCUGUUGUUAGUUAAAGAACUUAGGUAUACUUACUGUUGGUAUCUACAGAACUUAUGUUUAUAUACUGUUAUUCAAAGAACUUAUGUAUGCAUGAUGCUGGUAUCUACAGAGCUUAUGUAUACUUGCUGUUGGUAUCUACAGAACUUAUGUAUACUUGCUGUUGGUAUCUACAGAACUUAUGUUUAUAUACUGUUAUUCAAAGAACUUAUGUAUACUUGCUGUUGGUAUUUACAGAACUUAUGUAUACUUGCUGUUGAUAUCUACAGAGCUUAUGUUUAUAUACUGUUAUUUAAAGAACUUAUGUAUACUUGAUGCUGGUAUCUACAGAACUUAUGUUUAUAUACUGUUAUUCAAAGAACGUAUGUAUACUUGCUGUUGGUAUCUACAGAACUUAUGUAUACUUGCUGUUGGUAUCUACAGAGCUUAUGUUUAUAUACUGUUAUUCAAAGAACUUAUGUAUACUUGAUGCUGGUAUCUACAGAGCUUAUGUUGAUAUACUGUUAUUCAAAGAACGUAUGUAUACUUGAUGCUGGUAUCUACAGAACAUAUGUUUACUAACUAUUGGUAUCUACAGAACUAAUGUUUAUAUACCGUUAUUCAAAGAACUUAUGUAUACUUGCUGUUGGUAUCUACAGAACUUAUGUUUAUAUACUGUUAUUCAAAGAACGUAUGUAUACUUGAUGUUGGUAUCUACAGAACAUAUGUUUACUUACUAUUGGUAUCUACAGAACUAAUGUUUAUAUACCGUUAUUCAAAGAACUUAUGUAUACCUGCUGUUGGUAUCUACAGAACUUAUGUAUACUUGCCGUUGGUAUCUACAGAGCUUAUGUUUACUAACUGUUGGUAUCUUCAGAACUUAAAUAUUGUUAUUAACAGAACUUAUCUUUCAGGAGCAAUGAUCUCAAGUAUGAAGACAGAGCUCAAGGAGUCCUUCCUACUUUCAUUAUUGCAUAAAAGCAGUUCUAAUCUAUGUCAUCUCCGCCUUCACACUUGUAAUGAUUGGUCCUGACCCAGACUUUGGGUUAACUAUGUCCUCAUAGGUACUAUAGUUCACAUAUGACGGGACGGUAGGGUAUCCGAGUGCUUAUUGUGUUCGCUCGUCACGCCGAAGUCCCGGGUUCCAUUCUCCAUAUGGGUUAAAUGUGUGAAGCCCAUUUCUGGUGUCCUCCGACGUGAAUUUGCUUGCAUAUUGCUAAAAGCGUCUUGAAGCCAUACUCACAAACUAACCCUUAAAUAGAACAGAAGUGUGGCCUAGUCACGGGAGUUUCCCCUCGUGUUCCUGGUAACUAUGACAGUCAACCGGAGACGUUGAACGUAUAUUACCCCACUCCACACACACAUACAAACACAAACGCGCGCGCGCACGCAGGCACACUGCAGUCUUUUGGAAUGGACCAACACAGUCGUGUGUAGGGGUGAUUUAUAUUAUCUGGACAACAUACACACAUAAAACACUAGGAUGACGUCACAAGAAAUAUAUUUGUUAAACUAAACACGCUUACUGAGACGUGUCUCCAGUAGUCUGUUAUGUGAUUUUGGACUGAAGGUGGUUGGUUCUACCACAUCCACGCAAGACAUGUCAGGUAUUCCCUUGACUACUUUUAAUUACCAAAACAGGAUAUGUAUGAACAUGGUAUCGAUGGAUCAAGUAAAACUUUAAACAAUGAAAUGUGUCACAUUGAAAUAAUCAAUAUAUCGUGCAAGGCAGUGAACUGAUCAAGGCAGACAGAAUACCAGAAUAACGCUUGGUCUCUGAAAAUGCAUAAUGUUGAUGGAAACAAAUAAUUUCACUUCAUUUGAUAAGGACUGCUACAGAGACACAGUAAGUCAUCCAGUAUGUACCCUCAAUCUCUCAAGUAUGUCCACGUGUGUCUCCAGUAUGUCCCCUGUGUGUCCCCUGAAUGUCCCCAGAAUGUCUCCAGCAUGUCCCCUCAAACUCUCAAGUAUGUCCCCCUUGUGUCUCUAGUAUGUUCCCUGAAUAUAUCCCCUGAAUGUUCUCCGAUUGUCCCCAGUAUGCCCCCAGUGUAUCUCCAGUAUAUCCGCCGUAUGUCUCCAGUAUGUCUCUUUAAUAUCUCCAGUAUUUCACCCGUAUGUCUCCAGUAUGUCCCCUGUAUGUAUCCAGUAUGUCCCAUGUGCGUCUCCAGUAUGUCCCAUGUGUGUCUCCAGUAUGCCCCCCGUAUGUCUCCAGUAUGCCCCCUGUGCGUUUCCAGUAUGUCCCCCGUAUGACUCCAGUAUGUCCCAUGUGUGUCUCCAGUAUGUCCCCCGUAUAUCUCCAGUAUGUCUCCAGUAUGUCCCCCGUGUCUCCAGUAUGUCCCCCGUAUGUCUCCAGUAUGCCCCCUGUGCGUCUCCAGUAUGUCCCCCGUAUAUCUCCAGUAUUUCCCCCGUAUGUCUCCAGUAUGUCCCCGUAUGUCUCCAGUAUGUCCCCUGUGCGUCUCCAGUAUGUCCCAUGUGCGCCUCCAGUAUGUCCCCUGUGUGUCUCCAGUAUGUCCCAUGUGUGUCUCCAGUAUGUCCCCUGUGUGUCUCCAGUAUGUCCCAUGUGUGUCUUCAGCAUGUGCCCUGUGUGUUUCUAGUAUAUCCCCAGAAUGUCUUCAGUAUGUCCCACGUGCGACUCCAGUAUGUCCCCUGAUUAUCUCCAGUAUGUCUCAUGUGUGUCUCUACUAUGUGUCCUGUAUGUCUCCAGUAUGUCCCCACGUACCUCAGGUAUGCCCCUUGUGUGCCUCCAGUAUGUCCCCUGUAUGUCUCCAGUAUCUCCCCCGUGUGUCUCCAGUAUGUCCCCUGUAUGUCUCCAGUAUGUCCCCCGUAUGCCUCCAGUAUGUCCCCUGUGUGUCUCCAGUAUGUCCUCAUGUGUCUCCAGUAUGUCCCCUGUAUGUUUCCAGUAUGUCCCCUGUGUGUCUCCAGUAUGUCCCCCGUGUGCCUCUCGUAUGUCCCACGUAUGUCCCCAGUUUUCCCCUGUAUGUCUCCAGUAUGUCCCCUGUAUGUCUCCUGUAUGUCCCCCGUAUGUCUCUGUUAUGUCCCAUGUGUGUCUCCAGUAUGUCCCCGUGUGUCUCCAGUAUGUCCCCUGUGUGUCUCCAGUAUGUCCCCCGUAUAUCUCCAGUAUGUCUCCAGUAUGUCCCCCGUGUCUCCAGUAUGUCCCCCGUAUGUCUCCAGUAUGCCCCCUGUGCGUCUCCAGUAUGUCCCCCGUAUAUCUCCAGUAUUUCCCCCGUAUGUCUCCAGUAUGUCCCCGUAUGUCUCCAGUAUGUCCCCUGUGCGUCUCCAGUAUGUCCCAUGUGCGCCUCCAGUAUGUCCCCUGUGUGUCUCCAGUAUGUCCCAUGUGUGUCUCCAGUAUGUCCCCUGUGUGUCUCCAGUAUGUCCCAUGUGUGUCUUCAGCAUGUGCCCUGUGUGUUUCUAGUAUAUCCCCAGAAUGUCUUCAGUAUGUCCCACGUGCGACUCCAGUAUGUCCCCUGAUUAUCUCCAGUAUGUCUCAUGUGUGUCUCUACUAUGUGUCCUGUAUGUCUCCAGUAUGUCCCCACGUACCUCAGGUAUGCCCCUUGUGUGCCUCCAGUAUGUCCUCUGUAUGUCUCCAGUAUCUCCCCCGUGUGUCUCCAGUAUGUCCCCUGUAUGUCUCCAGUAUGUCCCCCGUAUGCCUCCAGUAUGUCCCCUGUGUGUCUCCAGUAUGUCCUCAUGUGUCUCCAGUAUGUCCCCUGUAUGUUUCCAGUAUGUCCCCUGUGUGUCUCCAGUAUGUCCCCCGUGUGCCUCUCGUAUGUCCCACGUAUGUCCCCAGUUUUCCCCUGUAUGUCUCCAGUAUGUCCCCUGUAUGUCUCCUGUAUGUCCCCCGUAUGUCUCUGUUAUGUCCCAUGUGUGUCUCCAGUAUGUCCCCGUGUGUCUCCAGUAUGUCCCCUGUGUGUCUCCAGUAUGCCCCCUGUGUGUCUCCAGUAUCUCCCCCGUAUGUCUCUAGUUAUCCGCUGUGUGUCUCCAGUAUGUCCCCCGUAUGUCUCCAGUAUGUCCCCUGUGUGUCUCCAGUAUGUCCCCUGUGCGUCUCCAGUAUGUCCUAUGAGUGUCUCCAGUAUGCCACCUGUAUGUCUCCAGUAUGUCCCCUGUGUGUCUCCAGUGUGUCCCCUGUAUAUCUCCAGUAUGUCCCCUGUAUGUCCCCAGUAUGUCCCCUGUAUGUCUCCAGUAUGCCCCCUGUGUGUCUCCAGUAUGUCCCCUGUGGGUCUCUAGUGUGUCACAUGUGUGUCUCCAAGAUGCCCCCUGUAUGUCUCCAGUAUGUCCCCCGUAUGUCCCCAGUUAUCCCCUGUGUGUCUCCAGUAUGUCCCCUGUGUGUCUCCAGUAUGUCCCCUGUAUGUCUCCAGUAUGUCCCCCGUAUGUCUCUAUUAUGUCCCAUGUGUGUCUCCAGUAUGCCCCCUGUGUGUCUCCAGUAUGUCCCUGUGUGUGUAUGUCUAACACAAAGUCUGAUGGGUGAUAAAUUACUGCUAUUCAGUUUCAUAUUUAAUAUUCCCGUCACCUGUUACCUAUUCCUGAUAUAUAUUGUGACCCGUCCGUGCUGUGGUCACUUUCGCGUCAAGAAUCGUUUCAACAUUCAACAUGGCUCGAGUACUACUGGCGGGCUGCGUUAUCGCCGUAUGUCUCGCAUAUUGUGUCUCUCAUGUCGUCAAGAGAGAUAUGGGCAUGGGAACAGCUGACGACGGGGAUUCUCCCAGUGGAGGUGAUGAAGGUGGUGCAAGCGGCGAUGUCAACUGCCUCGACAGUGGCUCGUGUCCUGGUGUUGGCGGAGUCGGGUGUGUUGCCCUUGGCGACAGUGUCGACCUGAAUGCAUGUACACAGAUGACGUGUACAGUCGUUAAUAACGUCUACGGGCUCCGAGCUGAUACAAUCCAAUGUGCAUAUGGUGGCAAGUGUUAUGAAGGAGGUGCCCCGUUAACACUCGGUAGCUGUGACUACACCUGUUCCAUCAGCGGUGUGAUCGGUUUCACGCCAAAUGACCCAGAUUGCUAGACACGCCGCUUCGCCCCAGCUCGGUAACGAAGAGUUCAUGUCAGAGAUUAAAGCAAUUAAAUAUGCAAUCUGUU